rnacentral:rRNA from 1 species
AGAGUUUGAUCAUGGCUCAGAUUGAACGCUGGCGGCAUGCCUUACACAUGCAAGUCGAACGGCAGCACGGGUGCUUGCACCUGGUGGCGAGUGGCGAACGGGUGAGUAAUACAUCGGAACGUACCUUAUCGUGGGGGAUAACGCAGCGAAAGCUGUGCUAAUACCGCAUACGCCCUGAGGGGGAAAGCGGGGGAUCGAAAGACCUCGCGCGAUUAGAGCGGCCGAUGCCUGAUUAGCUUGUUGGUGGGGUAAAAGCCCACCAAGGCGACGAUCAGUAGCUGGUCUGAGAGGACGAUCAGCCACACUGGGACUGAGACACGGCCCAGACUCCUACGGGAGGCAGCAGUGGGGAAUUUUGGACAAUGGGGGCAACCCUGAUCCAGCAAUGCCGCGUGAGUGAAGAAGGCCUUCGGGUUGUAAAGCUCUUUUGUCAGGGAAGAAACACCGGCUCUAACACAGUCCGGGAAUGACGGUACCUGAAGAAUAAGCACCGGCUAACUACGUGCCAGCAGCCGCGGUAAUACGUAGGGUGCGAGCGUUAAUCGGAAUUACUGGGCGUAAAGCGUGCGCAGGCGGUUAUACAAGACAGGCGUGAAAUCCCCGGGCUUAACCUGGGAAUGGCGCCUGUGACUGUAUAGCUAGAGUGUGUCAGAGGGGGGUAGAAUUCCACGUGUAGCAGUGAAAUGCGUAGAUAUGUGGAGGAAUACCAAUGGCGAAGGC